ACCUGUGGUGCUUAAGGAG
rnacentral:miRNA from 2 species